rnacentral:rRNA from 1 species
AUAAGCAACGUGCCCUAAAGACUGGGAUAGCCCGGGGAAACCCGGAGUAAUACUGGAUGUGGCCGUCGGGGGGCAUCCCCUGACGAUUAAAUGGUUUUUCGCUUUAGGAGCGGCUUAUGGCCUAUCAGGUAGUUGGUGGGGUAAUGGCCUACCAAGCCGACGACGGGUAGCGGGUCUGAGAGGAUGAUCCGCUCGAGUGGGACUGAGACACGGCC